rnacentral:rRNA from 1 species
GACGAACGCUGGCGGCGUGCUUAACACAUGCAAGUCGAACGGAAAGGCCCUGCUUUUGUGGGGUGCUCGAGUGGCGAACGGGUGAGUAACACGUGAGUAACCUGCCCUUGACUUUGGGAUAACUUCAGGAAACUGGGGCUAAUACCGGAUAGGAGCUCCUGCUGCAUGGUGGGGGUUGGAAAGUUUCGGCGGUUGGGGAUGGACUCGCGGCUUAUCAGCUUGUUGGUGGGGUAGUGGCUUACCAAGGCUGUGACGGGUAGCCGGCCUGAGAGGGUGACCGGCCACAUUGGGACUGAGAUACGGCCCAGACUCCUACGGGAGGCAGCAGUGGGGAAUAUUGCACAAUGGGCGGAAGCCUGAUGCAGCAACGCCGCGUGCGGGAUGACGGCCUUCGGGCUGUAAACCGCUUUCGCCUGUGACGAAGCGUGAGUGACGGUAAUGGGUAAAGAAGCACCGGCUAACUACGUG